rnacentral:rRNA from 1 species
UACAGAGGUCCCAAGCGUUGUUCGGAUUCACUGGGCGUAAAGGGUGCGUAGGUGGUUAGGUAAGUCCGAUGUGAAAUCUCCAGGCUCAACCUGGAAAUGGCAUUGGAUACUAUUUAGCUUGAGGAGUGGAGGGGGGACUGGAAUUCUCGGUGUAGCAGUGAAAUGCGUAGAUAUCGAGAGGAACACCGGUGGCGAAGGCGGGUCUCUGGGCAGUAACUGACGCUGAGGAGCGAAAAGCGUGGGGGAGCGAACAGG